rnacentral:rRNA from 1 species
GGCGAACUGUGCAAACGUUAUUCGGAAUCACUGGGCUUGAAGAGUGCGUAGGCGGUUUCGUAAGUAGGGUGUGAAAGCCCCCAGCUCAACUGGGGAACUGCGUCCUAAACUGCGAGGCUGGAGUGAGGUAGGGGUGUGUGGAACUUCCGGUGGAGCGGUGAAAUGUGUUGAUAUCGGAAGGAACGCCGGUGGCGAAAGCGACACACUGGGCCUUGUCUGACGCUGAGGCACGAAAGCCAGGGGAGCAAACGGG